rnacentral:rRNA from 1 species
UGGGGAAUAUUGGACAAUGGGCGCAAGCCUGAUCCAGCCAUGCCGCGUGAGUGAUGAAGGCCCUAGGGUUGUAAAGCUCUUUCACCGGUGAAGAUAAUGACGGUAACCGGAGAAGAAGCCCCGGCUAACUUCGUGCCAGCAGCCGCGGUAAUACGAAGGGGGCUAGCGUUGUUCGGAUUUACUGGGCGUAAAGCGCACGUAGGCGGGCUUUUAAGUCAGGGGUGAAAUCCCGGGGCUCAACCCCGGAACUGCCUUUGAUACUGGAAGUCUUGAGUAUGGUAGAGGUGAGUGGAAUUCCGAGUGUAGAAGUGAAAUUCGUAGAUAUUCGGAGGAACACCAGUGGCGAAGGCGGCUCACUGGACCAUUACUGACGCUGAGGUGCGAAAGCGGGGGGAGCAAACAGG